AUGCCGCCGCGCCGCCGUGGAGCGUCGGGCUACCGCGACGUCCUCCCGUGCCCCAACGGCGGCUACUACUCCGAGAUACACUCCGGUGAUCUCCGGCUCGGCCUUGGCACCUACGGGACGGCGCAUGAGGCCGCCCGCGCGUACGACGCGGCGGCGUGGCGCCUAGGCAGGCCGCACGGGCAGAUGAAUUUCCAAGAUGUCUACACGCUCCAGCAGGUGCUGGACGUCGCCCCGCCGCCUCGGCUUAACACGGCACAAGACCGUGCGGAGCACGUUGCGCGGCAGCGCCGCCUCCUCGUCGCCCAGGAGGACGAGCGGGUCAUGGCGGAGUGGCGCCGGCGCCACCCGGAGGACGUCGCCUACAAGCAAGCCUACUGGGCAAGGCGCCGCGAGGAGGACACGCGAAGGCGCCGCGAGGAGCGGUUGAACAGGCAUCGGCGGAAGGCAUUGGCGAAUGCGCAGACGGAUAUCGUUGCAGCAGGCGGGAGGUCGUUCUUCACGGAAAACUAUGAUCGUUGA
rnacentral:rRNA from 1 species